UACGAAGGCAGCAGUGGGGAAUAUUGCACAAUGGGCGCAAGCCUGAUGCAGCCAUGCCGCGUGUAUGAAAAAGGCCUUCGGGUUGUAAAGUACUUUCAGUCGUGAGGAAGGUGUUAAGGUUAAUAACCUUAGCAAUUGACGUUAGCGACAGAAGAAGCACCGGCUAACUCCGUGCCAGCAGCCGCGGUAAUACGGAGGGUGCGAGCGUUAAUCGGAAUUACUGGGCGUAAAGGGCACGCAGGCGGUUAAUUAAGUUGGAUGUGAAAUCCCCGGGCUUAACCUGGGAAUGGCAUUCAAGACUGGUUAGCUAGAGUCUUGUAGAGGGGGUAGAAUUCCAUGUGUAGCGGUGAAAUGCGUAGAGAUGUGGAGGAAUACCGGUGGCGAAGGCGGCCCCUGGACAAAAGACUGACGCUCAUGUGCGAAAGCGUGGGGAGCGAAACAGGGAUUAAGAUACC
rnacentral:rRNA from 1 species